GCCACCCGCCAGCUCUGCUCGCGCAGGAAGCGCUCCCGGGAGCGGCUCCGCGGGGGCCGCCAGCCCAGGCACUGCAUGGUCGCUGGCCCGACCUCUGUCCUGCCCCUCGGCUGGCCGGGGCCCGGCCUAGGCAGGGAACCCUGGGAGGGAGGCACCAUCAUUAUCCCCAUUUCACUGAUGAGGAAACUGAGGCAGACAGAGCCCCAUUCAGCCUGGUGAGUGUUUGAGGGGGGAUUUGAACUGAGGUCUUCCUGUGUCUGGGCCAUGGACUGAUUCCUGCCAAACGAGACCAAAGGGUCUCCUGCUUUUUGUGCUCUUUCACUGUCUUGAUCGCAUCACUGGAACUCACAACCCAGGAGUCCCAUUCAAUUCCUCUCCUCCCUCACCCUCAUGGCCAAUCUGCCACCAAAGGCAGGCAAUUCUCUGUCCAGCCCUGCUCCCAGCUCUGUUCUCCCACCACCACCGAGUCCAGACACCUCAAUUCCUUCAGCAGCUCUCCCCUCUCCCAGGGUGCCAAGACAAUGUGCUGGAGGCCCUGGGCUUGACCUUCCUCCUGCCCCACCUCCUCCCCAGGAGCAGGGGCUGCUGCUUCUCUAGUCUAGAGGGGGGAGACAGGAAAGUGGGACUGGAAGCCCACCAUGGAAAUGAGGCUCCCCCUGGGAGAAAAGAAAGACUACUGAGCUGCAUUCGAAUCCUGCUUCUCAUGGCCCGGUGACCUUGGGCAAGUCACUCAGGGUUUCAGUUUUGCGUCUGUAAAAUGGGAAGACUAAUACUUAGUCUAGGGCUCAGGAGGCAUUCGGAGCACUUCCUAAGGGCCUGGCAUGUGCCGGGUGUUAGGGAUGUCCCACAUGUGGCAGUCCCUGGCCUCGAGGACCUUCCUUCCUACAGAGAGGCAACAAUUCCCAAGUACCUAAGCCACGCUAUCGAGGGGGGCCAGCAAUGGGUGCUGGGAGCACGGCCGGUGUCUGCAGAGGACUUUGCUUUCCGUUCGCUUUGGAGGAAAGAACCUCGUCCAGCUUCCAGGGCUUCCUUGCCCAGGGGAGUGACUGGCUGGCUGGACCAGGAGCCGCUGGGAUGCCCUCACCAAGGAACACCGGGGAAGAGGGUGACCCAGGUCCCAGAGGACGGACUUCCCCCUCCCAGGCUCAGGCCCUUCCCUUUCCCUCAGGCUCAGGCAGGGCAGUCCUAGAGCUGGAAGGGACCCUCAGCAAGCCUCCACUUCAGUGGCUUCCUUCUACAGGAGAGGAGGGAAGGGACCCUAAAGUUACUCCACAGGACCGUGAUGGCUGGCUGGCUCUGGACCCCUUCAGCCCUGGCAUCCGGGGGUUCCCGAUGAGUGCCAAGGGAGCAGGAAGCUCAGGGCUGAGGGUCUGAACCAGAGACGGAUGCCCCCAGGACCUGGGCUGUUGCCGCUUCCCAGGCCAGGCAAAGAUUCUGAAAAUGUUGACAAGAACGUGAGAGGCCUUUAAGGUAAGAGAUGUCCCAGCCAAUCGUUCAAACACUAGACACAGGGAGAUGGGUUUGGGAGAGAAACCCAGGAAGGCUUCCUGGAAAAGGUGUCAGGCAUUCUGGGGAGAAGGGCAAGAGUUGAGUGCAGAAGAUAACCAGGAGCCCUCCUCAACUGAAAUCUCCACUCUGGAACCCUCUCCUGGUUUUCAGUUCAUUUCUCUCUUGGUAGUUGGGAGCAUUUGUUUCCCGUGACUCUUGAUGGCGGUGUGCAUGUCCUUCCUUAAGAAUUCUGGAAUGGGAAGUGGGCCCAGCACCAGCCACAGGGAGGAAGAGGAGGAAGAGGAGGAGGAGGAGGAGGAAUUUCACUCUUACUCUAGAGUAAGAGGGUCCCACCUCCUGUCAUCAGUCUGGCAAAACCAAUCAUGAAGGAAAAUGGCACAUGCUGGCAGGGCUGUGGGAAAACAGGUCCCUAUGGAUGGGUCACGCUUCUGCCCCAUGUAACUGCUCAUUCACUUGGCAUAUACUUUGGGGCUCCACACUGCCUCCCUGAGAGGAUCUCAGCUUCUUCCGUUGCCUUUUAGUCUCUUCCGCCCUACCACCCAGUGCCCAGAACACAAGAGGGGCUUAAUAAAUGCUUGUUGACUGACCAGCCCAAGAGACUGACUCCCUGCUUGGAGCACGUGCUCGCCAUGUGGCUGAGGGAGGUGCCCUUGUGUGGUGGGCACUGUGAGGAAGAAAGGCAGUGAUGAGUGAGUAAGGCUCCCCCUCCUCUUCCUUGAGUGGAAGAUGGCGUCACACAGGAUUUGCAGCCAGGGCAGGGAAGGACUUGGCCCUCUGCUCUCUCUUCCCAACUUCUCUAUGACUGUCGAAGGCACCAACAUCCUCCGGGGUACCCAAGCUCACAGCCUCCAGAUUGUCUGCUGCCAAGACUUGUGGUGUCUACUGCUCCAGCCAGGCCCAGGAGCUGGCUCUCAUGGCCUCCCCCUGGGAUCACUGUCAUCCCUGCCUCGAGUCUAGCCUUCACACAGCUGUUGAGGUGAUUUUCCCAAUCACGUAAGCAGAUCUGGGAGAAAAUGUAUGCGGUGACAGCAACAUUGCCAAGAAAACAUCAGUGAAAGGCUUUACCCCGAUUGAUGCAAUGCCCAGCUUCAGUGACAGGACAAACAUCGACGCCUAUUGGUUGACUCUUUAGGGCCCUGUUUGAAGUUUUCUUGGCCGAAACACUGCAGUGGUUUGUUUUACAGAUGAGGAAACAGAGGCAAACAAGGUUAGAUGACUUGCCUAGGGUGACACAGCGUCUAGGCUAGAUUUGAACUGGGGAAGAUUCUUCCUCCGGACUCCAGGACCAGUGCCCUGUCCACAGUGCCACCUAGAGGCCCAAUGAAGACUACUGCCCACCUUCUAACAGGGGUGAUGAACUCAGCAUGCAGACUGAGACCUAUUUUCAGAUUUGUUUUGCUUGAAGUCUUGUUUGUAACAGGAAGAAUGACUCCUCAAUGCCAAAAGUCCUAGGUUAGUAUCUUGAAAAGUCAUUAGGAGAAUGGGGUGUGCUCAGCUGGGUUGAGGGAACAGAGUCACACCCUGUAGGGUGGUCUAGAAACUCCUGAGCCAGCUCGUAACUCGAGGACAUCAGGGCAUAGGCAAUAAGGAGUUAACAGUCACCACCUAAGAAAGUGGCACAAUGAAGGCAGCAUUUAUAGCAGUGUUGUGUGUGGUAGAUGGGGGGGGGGGGGGAGGAGGAGCAGGAAAACAUGUUAGGACAUUACUGCAAAAGUCCAGGCAAGAGUCCAGGCCCUUGACUAGGGUGGGGUGGCAGAGGUAGAAAAGAACAGGCAGUCAUGGGAGGAAUAUUAUGAAAGAAACACUGUUGACUAACUUGGUGUGAGGAGCACGGGCUAAGGAGGAAUCCCAAAUGACUCACAGCAUCCAAGCCUGGAUGAUCAGGAGAAGAUUGGGCUAUUGCCAAAAAAUGGGGAAUCAGGAGGAAUUGGGGAGCCCACUAGCAGGCACCCCCCCCAAGGAGAUGAGUAAGAAAGAAGCGUCUCAUACACAUGAAAAUAUCUGUCUGUACUUUCUGUGGGAGAACAAACUGGAAACAAUGUACCUAUCCACUGGGAAAUGGCUGGCCAAAUUGGGGCAUGUAGAUAUAUAAUGGAGCAUUACUGGAACAGUUCAGAUCCUGCUUGCCACCCUCCCCCCACCUCCCUGGGGCCUCACCUUCUUCAUCUGUAAAAUGGGUGGUGGUGGCCUCUCUAUAGAGCCUCCGAGGUCCCCAUUCUAGAUAUAGACCCACCGAAUAUAGAGAAUCUUAUAUAACUCGGGGCAGGGAAACAGAAUGAACACUAUAAUACAUAACUUGAUGAAAUGAAAAACGAAAGGCUGCUGAAUGCUCCCAAUGAUCCGAAUUCAUUUGGGCCCCAGAGGAGAGAUGGGAAACGCACUUCAGCUAGAAAGGUAGAGUCCCUGGGCUGGGCUGGUGUAUACACUCUCAGAUGUGGCUGCUGCUACUCUGCUUGAAUGGGCUCUGCACUUGGAGGGAGGGCCCCAGGAGGCGGGGUGAAGGAGAGAGCACUGCUGGAAGGGGUGGCUUGAGCCCCCCCACAGGAAGGAACCAAGAGGGGAUGAGAUGGUGGGGGAGAGCCAAGAAUAGAGCAGAGGUCUGCAGCUCCCCUCCUUCAGAGUGGGGAGAGGGAAUGGGGAGACCAAGUCAGGGACAAGAGAAGGAGAGCCCCAAAGCCACUGAGAAGCAGAGUGAGUAGAAGAAAUCUCUGCCUUUGCCCCCAGCGUGCAUUCCUGGCAUCGGGGUGGCUGACCCUCCGGCUGCCCACUGCUGCCAGCCAGAGCAGGGCCUCGGGAAGCAGAAUGAGGCCAGCCUUGAUGGACGGCUGAAGGCGCCAUCAGUUUGUCUUGUCUGUCUCUGUGUUCCAAGGGGUUCUUUUGGAGGGGGGGAAGGUUGGAAGGAGGGAGCUGGGGUAAGGCUGGCCGGAAAAGCAAAAGUCUAAGGGGUCACAGAAGGAGCUGGGGAAGUUACACACUGGCUGGCUGGCUGGCUUGCUACUUUAAGAGACAAGCCAGCCGCACACAAGACAUUCAAUGUUUCAGAGGGAGUCUCUCGCUUUUGUUCAUUAGGCACAAAGAAAACCACUUUGUUUAGUGCCCAGUAAGUUCUGAACGUCCAAAAAGCUUCAGAAGAAAAUACGAGAGUGCUCACUGGCAUUCCUGCAACUGUUAAGUUGGGCAAAGCAGUCCACUCUGGAUCCUUGCCAUGGCCCUGGGGGCAGAUGAGGAAACUGAGGCCGAGGGAAGUGGUCACUUGCCCUGGCUCAUACAAUGGGAGUAUUGGAGACAACCUGAUCUCUUGAGCUGUUCCAGGCCUGCUGAACGGGGGAGAGAAGUGGGAGAGGCCAGAGGACAGCCGGAUCCCCCAAAGGUUGCUGGGCAGGGUGGCGACAGAAGGAAAGCAGACUGGGCAGUAAUGACAAUAGCUGUAAGAAGAGGAGGAAGAAAACCUGACAGGCCUAGACAGGGUAGCAGAAAGAGAGGAAGUGAGGAGUACAAAGGCCAGAGCUGAACAGCUCUCUCCUGCUCUGGAAAAUUCACAGAGCCCUGCGAUGGGAAGAUUCGGGAGAGGACCAGCCUGGGGGGGAUGGAGGGGCAGGACAGAACCUGGGGAGCCUUCUGAGGGACAAGUGCCAGCAAUGAGUGGGGAAGGAAUGGAGGCAGCAGGCUUAAGGGAGCCAGAGUCAAAACCUCCCGACAACUGGAGCUGCUGCCCAGGGGGCCAGGCUGUCUCUGAGGGAUGGACGGAACUCCAUCGCUGAGUGGUUUCAGGUAGAGUCCAGGAAAGCUUGGACCCAGGAUGCUCUGCUACAGGAAGUCCGCCCCACUAAGAGUCUGUUACUUGAGUGACCAGGGUUGUCCAAAGUUAUGGACAGGGCUGCAGGGUGGCUCAGUGAACAGAGAACCAGAGAUGGGAGGUCUUGGGUUCCUAUCUGGCCUCAGACACUUCCUAACUGUGUGACCCUGGGCAAGUCACUUACCCUCCAUUGGCUAGCCCUUACUGCUCUUCAGCCUUGGAAUGGAUACUCAGUGCCGAUUCUGAGACACACAAGGAGGGUUUGAACAAAUAGUUAUGGACAGUUCGAGGAGGCAGAGCUUCCCAGGGAUCUCCAGGCUUAGGCAUUCUCUAUGUGCAGGCUGAUGCCCCUUGGGGCUUUGAUUUCCCUGAACCCGGGGACUGCAGGGUGCCCUGCCCCCUUCAAGGGCCAUUAGACAGUCUGGGCCCUGUUCUCCGACUGUCAGGUCACCCACCUUGCAGGCUGGCUCAGCCAUGCUCAGUAGUAGUGGCAGAGAAAUGGGCUUGACAGAAAACACCAUCGAGGUAAUGCAGUGUCUGCCGUUUGGACCUCGGUGGGAAACCCAGAAUUGGAUCCUGCCUCAGAUUCUCAAGAGCCAAGCAAUUCUAAGAAGGUGACACCUUCCCUCAGUUUCCUCGUCUGUAAAAUGGGGCUAUUGGUGGCACCUAGAAUGAAGUGAGGAGAGAAAUGGCUGCCACUAAUGUUAUUAUGCAUUUGUUAGACAAACUGAGGCUCAGGGAGAUUAUUAAGGCACUGGUCCAGGCUCACAUCCCUCUGGAGGAAGUAUCUGAUACUGGAUCUGCCCCCAGGCCCACCUGACCUGUCACUUGGGUGACCUUGGGCCAGUCACUUCUCUCCAGGUUUCAGCUUUCUUCUCUGGAACACAUGAACUGGGGAAAGCACACCAGAUUUGGACACAGAGAACUUGGGUUCAAAUCCUGUCUCUGGGACAUGGGAGGAUUUGCCUCCCCUCUCAGGGCCUCAGUCUCCUCAUCUGUAAAGUGAUGGCUUCAUGGCUGUUACCAAAGCCCAAGGUGUCAAGAGAGCACCAAUAAGGGGUGGAUUGAGCUAUUGCAGUCAGCAAGAUCUGAGUUCAAAUCCAGCCUCGGACACUUAUAGCUGUGACCCUGGGCAAGUCACUUAACUUCUGUUGCUCAGCAGAAGGAGGAAAGGGCAACUCCCUCUGGCGUCUUUGCCAAGAAAACCCUCUGGACCUGGGGGGGGGGGGGUCAAGUAGUCAGGCUGAGCCGCAGCAGAAGGAAGGCUCCCUCCUCCCAGCUCCCUCCCUCCCUCCCGAUCUCUAACUACUCUGCUCUGUAUUCCCGGCGGACCCCUGGCCCACCCAGGCUCUGAUGGGGGAGGGGAGGGGUUAUGGGCGUUUCGGACCUCCCUCAGCGGAGCAGCCCCCCCGAGGGGCCGGGAAGGUGGGGCUCCAAUCAGGUCCUGGCCUGACCCUCCUCAGGGCAAGCUGGACGCUGGAAGGCUCGGGGAGAAGCCAUUCGGGCCCGGAUCCGACGGCCCCAGAGAGAGGCGCCGCCCCCCGGCCCCCCGCCAGGCGUUCAGCGGCUUCUCUGGGCCCCGUCCCGGCAUUCUCCCCCGGACCUUCGGGGCUGAGGAGCGGUGAGGCUGGGAGGUCCCUUCCCUUCCCUGCGUGAGGCGGCGACGCUCGCCGUCCCGCCCCCCCCUCAAGCUGCCUCUACGCUAUUUCCCAGCCGGACACACCCCCUCCGGGGCCGGCGUAGGAGCCCGGCCGAGGGGACCGCAAGUGGCUCCACUGGGAGCCUCCAGCCAAGGUGGGUCGGCCGGCCUGGCUAGGGGAGGUCGAUCCUCCACCGCCUUCGGGAGCUUCCCCG